AGCUUUGCGCAGCGGCAAUAUUGUAGCCUAUGAGGUUUAGCCGAAGUGCAAUUAUUGCUAAUUAAAAACUUUUCCCUAUAUCUCACAUCCACUGAUUUGAAAUACAAUCGGUGAAAGCAAAUUUUGACAGUCCAGUGAGAC
ensembl:snRNA U4 U4 spliceosomal RNA